AUUGAACGCUGGCGGCAGGCUUAACACAUGCAAGUCGAGCGGGGGAGGUUGCUUCGGUAACUGACCUAGCGGCGGACGGGUGAGUAAUGCUUAGGAAUCUGCCUAUUAGUGGGGGACAACAUUCCGAAAGGGAUGCUAAUACCGCAUACGCCCUACGGUGGAAAGCAGGGGAUCUUCGGACCUUGCGCUAAUAGAUGAGCCUAAGUCGGAUUAGCUAGUUGGUGGGGUAAAGGCCUACCAAGGCGACGAUCUGUAGCGGGUCUGAGAGGAUGAUCCGCCACACUGGGACUGAGACACGGCCCAGACUCCUACGGGAGGCAGCAGUGGGGAAUAUUGGACAAUGGGCGGAAGCCUGAUCCAGCCAUGCCGCGUGUGUGAAGAAGGCCUUUUGGUUGUAAAGCACUUUAAGCGAGGAGGAGGCUACUAGUACUAAUACUACUGGAUAGUGGACGUUACUCGCAGAAUAAACACCGGCUAACUCUGUGCCAGCCGCCGCAGUAACAC
rnacentral:rRNA from 1 species